GUGCUCUCAGGGUCGCAUCUGUAGAGUUUCCAGUACUCAACCAGCCACGACUCCAGGAGGGAGAGUCAGGCAGAGGCAUACCUAUUCUAUUCCUAGCUUGGCCAGUGGCUAGUGAGUGGAAGGCAAUUUGCUACAAGU